CUUAUUCCUCUAUCAUGGAAGGAUCAUUACUUUUUAACUGUAAUAAUAGUUAUUGGUCUAUAGUCUACAUCUGGAAUCAAAAGCUACAGUUCAAGUGGAUUAAAGAUGGUGGUGUGAGAGGAGAGACAGAGGCUUCCUCCUAAAACUGGAUACAAUUUGAAAAUUUAAUUGGUGCAACUAAUCCUGAGAGAGCAACAGGAAAGAGGACAGCGCCAGACUGCACACACCUGGAGAAAAGAGCAGACCUCACCCAACGGGGUAACGUACCAGAGCUGUGGCUCCGCGGGACAUGAACCCCUCCCCCACCCCAGCUCACUGGUGGGAGGAGGAGAAAUGGAGCAGGGAGGGAGUGGAAGGCUUGGGACUGCUGAAUACCUAGCUCUGGAGUCCUCCGCUGGGAGCACAAACCUACAUUUCAUGGUGCUUUCAUGAGACUCGCAUGACUACUGGGUUGGAAAUUUAAUACAAUCAGAGUUCCUGGGGAGACUGGGAUUCUGGCUGCUUGUGGAAAGCAGGGAACCAUAUCUGGCUGCUCUGGGACAAAAACAUACCUGUGUGACUGGCCCACUGGCUCAGGCAGUGGAGACAGGCAGAGCAGCCAGGAGGCGGGGAACAGCUCUUUCCUCCCCCCAGGCACCAGUACCGCUCCCCUGUGACCCCCAACAUUGCUUCAGGGGCUGAGCAGCUCCAGAAUAGAGCUUCUGGACACUAGA